rnacentral:rRNA from 1 species
UAGGGAGCUUGCUCCCGGAUGUUAGCGGCGGACGGGUGAGUAACACGUGGGUAACCUGCCUGUAAGACUGGGAUAACUCCGGGAAACCGGAGCUAAUACCGGAUAGUUCCUUGAACCGCAUGGUUCAAGGAUGAAAGACGGUUUCGGCUGUCACUUACAGAUGGACCCGCGGCGCAUUAGCUAGUUGGUGGGGUAAUGGCUCACCAAGGCGACGAUGCGUAGCCGACCUGAGAGGGUGAUCGGCCACACUGGGACUGAGACACGGCCCAGACUCCUACGGGAGGCAGCAGUAGGGAAUCUUCCGCAAUGGACGAAAGUCUGACGGAGCAACGCCGCGUGAGUGAUGAAGGUUUUCGGAUCGUAAAGCUCUGUUGUUAGGGAAGAACAAGUGCGAGAGUAACUGCUCGCACCUUGACGGUACCUAACCAGAAAGCCACGGCUAACUACGUGCCAGCACCCGCGGUAAUACUUAGGUGGCAAGCGUUGUCCGGAAUUAUUGGGCGUAAAGGGUUCGCAGGCGGUUUCUUAAGUC